AGUGAAUAGAUACCCGGGUAGUCCUAGCCGUAAACGAUACUCGCUAGGUGUCGGCCACGGUGCGACCGUUGUCGGUGCCGUAGGGAAAGCCGUGAAGCGAGCCACCUGGGAAGUACGGCCGCAAGGCUGAAACUUAAAGGAAUUGGCGGGGGAGCACCACAACGGGUGGAGCUUGCGGUUUAAUUGGAUUCAACGCCGGAAAUCUUACCGGGACCGACAGCAAUAUGAAGGCCAGGCUGAAGACUUUGCCGGAUUAGCUGAGAGGUGGUGCAUGGCCGUCGUCAGUUCGUACUGUGAAAGCAUCCUGUUAAGUCAGGCAACGAGCGAGACCCACGCCCACAGUUGCCAGCGUACUCUCCGGAGUGACGGGUACACUGUGGGGACCGCCGCUGCUAAAGCGGAGGAAAGAAUGGGCAACGGUAGGUCAGUAUGCCCCGAAUAUCCCGGGCUACACGCGAGCUACAAUGGUUGGUACAAUGGGUAUCUACCCCGAAAGGGGAUGGAAAUCUCCUAAAGCCAAUCUUAGUUCGGAUUGAGGGCUGCAACUCGCCCUC
rnacentral:rRNA from 1 species